rnacentral:piRNA from 1 species
UGCGACGAACGUUAAAAUGAAUCACCACUGU